GCACCGUCGAAUAUAAUUUAAUUAUUUAAAAAUUUUAAAUAUUGAAAUUAUGAUUUCAAUAUAUUACUUACCUAGCAAUUAAGUGAUUUUAAAUUUACUUUAUAUUAACCAUUUAAACUUAUUAAUUUUGAUAUCCAUCCGAAUACUAGACAAAUGAUAUUGUAAAAUUUCUUAAGUUCAGAUAGCCUAAAUUAAAUUUAAAAAUAUGGAUCGUCAAUUUAGAUAAUUUAGAUAAU
rnacentral:lncRNA from 1 species